ncrna:unclassified sequences L2-Alphaproteobacteria ribosomal protein leader
GGGGACCUUCGGGGCCCUUCAUAACACCGACGGGCCGGCAACGGUCCGCGAAGCAGACGGAAGACAGAAA